rnacentral:lncRNA from 1 species
GAAAGAGAAAAGAGGAAAGAGAGAAAAGGAAAGAGACAAGAGGAAGAGAAGGAAGAAAGAGGAAAGAGAGAGCAGAGAGAAAUUCUUCUAGAGAGAAAAUUCAGUGAGCCACACAUAUUGUAAACACUAAAGUUAUAGCCCUAUUAUUUUACAUAGUGGAAAAGUUACUACUGCUGCUCUCCGGGGACGUAGGCAUAGCCGAA